UCAUUUUACAGUCUUUAUCACUCGUGCCUCACAGCAAGAAGGUCCAGGGUUUGAUUCCAAUACCAGUCGAUGGGGAUAGGACCUUUCUGUGUGGAGUUUGCAUGUUCUCCCCGUGUCUGCGUGGGUUCUCUCCGGGUACUCCGGCUUCCUCCCACCAUCCAAAGACAUGCACU